rnacentral:rRNA from 1 species
UACGUAGGGUGCGAGCGUUGUCCGGAAUUAUUGGGCGUAAAGAGCUCGUAGGCGGUGUGUCACGUCGGCCGUGAAAACCUGCAGCUUAACUGUGGGCGUGCGGUCGAUACGGGCAUCACUGGAGUUCGGCAGGGGAGACUGGAAUUCCUGGUGUAGCGGUGAAAUGCGCAGAUAUCAGGAGGAACACCGGUGGCGAAGGCGGUCUCUGGGCCGUUACCUGACGCUGAGGAGCGAAAGCGUGGGGAGCGAACAGG